AUUGAACGCUGGCGGCAGGCUUAACACAUGCAAGUCGAGCGGAGUGAUGGUGCUUGCACUAUCACUUAGCGGCGGACGGGUGAGUAAUGCUUAGGAAUCUGCCAUUUAGUGGGGGACAACAUUCCGAAAGGAAUGCUAAUACCGCAUACGUCCUACGGGAGAAAGCAGGGGAUCUUCGGACCUUGCGCUAAAUGAUGAGCCUAAGUCGGAUUAGCUAGUUGGUGGGGUAAAGGCCUACCAAGGCGACGAGCUGUAGCGGGUCUGAGAGGAUGAUCCGCAACACUGGGACAGAGACACGGCCCAGAAUCCUACGGGAGGCAGCAGUGAGGAAUAUUGGACAAUGGGGGGAACCCUGAUCCAGCCAUGGCGGGUGUGUGAAGAAGGCCUUAUGGUUGUAAAGCACUUUAAGCGAGGAGGAGGCUACUGAGACUAAUACUCUUGGAUAGUGGACGUUACUCGCAGAAUAAGCACCGGCUAACUCUGUGCCAGCCGCCGCAGUAACAC
rnacentral:rRNA from 1 species